rnacentral:lncRNA from 1 species
UGCAGGGCGAGGUGAGGGGAACAGGUACAGGGGACAGGUACUUGUCUGUCGGAAUCCGUUCAUGAACCGUCGUCUGUUUCUGUCUCUGGCAGCUGAUAACUUGAGCCGGACUCAGUCAGGCUCCAGCCUGUCCUUGGCCUCUGCGGCGACGACAGAACCCGAGAGCGUUCAUUCCGGGGGCACACCCUCUCAGCGGUCCCAAGCUCUUUAAGGAGCCCAGUAGUAAAUCAAACAAGCCGAUUAUUCACAAUGCCAUAUCCCAUUGCUGCCUGGCUGGAAAAGUGAACGAACCCCACAAGAAUUCCAUAUUGGAGGAGCUGGAGAAGUGUGAUGCCAAUCACUACAUCAUACUGUUUCGUGAUGCUGGCUGCCAGUUCAGGGCGCUUUACUGCUACUAUCCUGAUACUGAGG